CAGCACCUCAGGUGGUCAGGAUGAUUAUUGGGCCUAAAGCAUCCGUAGCCGGCGCUGUAAGUUUUCGGUUAAAUCUGUACGCUCAACGUACAGGCUGCCGGGAAUACUGCAGCGCUAGGGAGUGGGAGAGGUAGACGGUACUCGGUAGGAAGGGGUAAAAUCCUUUGAUCUAUUGAUGACCCCCUGUGGCGAAGGCGGUCUACCAGAACACGUCCGACGGUGAGGGAUGAAAGCUGGGGGAGCAAACCGGAUUAGAUACCAGAGUAGUCC
rnacentral:rRNA from 1 species